UAAAGGUAAAUUAAUAAAUCGACAGGGCCAAAAUUUGAGCUGCCCCAACACCUCUACGUGUUAGCGUUCAUGGCGAAGGUGGCGACCUAUAAAUCGGAAACCUUCUCUGUUGAUAUAUGUGUUCGGUGAAAUUCCUGAAUGAAAAAGAGAGAAUGGGGAUCUCCUUCAAGGUGGCAAAGUCAGGAACUAGGUAUAGGCCAAAGUUGCUUCAAUUUGAGGACAAAGAAAUUGAUAAUGACCCAACAACUGACUCUCAAUAUCGAGAAAAUGAGGGUGAUCUCGUUGGAUUAGGAGAUAAAGUUACAGACUAUUCACAUGCAUUGGCCAAGCCUGGAUUGCGCUCGGUUUCAGAAGCAGUUCCAGAGGUUUCCUUUUCACUGAACUUGUUUCCAAGUGGCUUCUCUGUUGGAAAACCCUAUCAGUUGUUUGACAACAUUCCCAAGCAGUUGCAUCCCUAUGACAGGGCAUCAGAGAUCCUUUUCUGUGCAAUUGAGAGUGGGUGCUUACCAGGAGAUAUUUUUGAUGAUCUUCCCUGCAAAUAUGUCAAUGGAGCUCUUUUGUGUGAGAUUAAAGAUUACCGAAAUAUCUUUUCCCAAAAGGGAGACACAGCUUCUUCAGCAGAGAAUUCUCCAGUUAUAUACAAAAAGGUCCUGCAGAUGUGUAUGGAGAGUGUUGUCAAGGACAUCUCAUUAGUCUCAGAUGAUUCUUGGACCUACAAUGAUCUACUGGAAUUUGAGUCCCGAAUUCUCAAGGCUCUGCGGCCUGAUCUUCAUUUGGAUCCAAAGCCAAUGCUGGAUAGAUUUUGUGAGGAACCUCUGGCAGAGAAGCUCAAUUUAGGAAUUUCCUGGAAUAGAAAAAAAAGAAAGCUCAAUGAUGCAUCCACAAUAGACCAAGUUUCCAGCUACCUAUCCCCUAGAUUCCAAGUGUCAGAAGUUUGUGCACCCCGGAAUUCAAACAUUCAAUCUGAUGUAGAAUUCCAAGAUAGAGUUCAAUAUUCUAAACUUGUCUCCAGCUCUAUCACUACUUCACAGAGAAAUUAUGUUCUCCAAGAGAACAUGUCACAAUCUUCUCUUUUAACAUCCCAGGCAAACUAUCAAUUAGCAGUUACUUACAAUCAAUUUCCUUCUGGAGCUCUAACACCAUCAAAUACUAUCUCUGCACACAAACCAAAUCAUGGUAACACUGAUCCAAGAAUACCCAGCUCGUUGACCCUUGGUGAGCGGAGAAGAUAUGGAAUAGCAAACCGAGGACCUAUUAGUGAGAAACCAAAUCAAGAACCACUGGACUUCUCUGAAGAGCAGCUUCCAGAGUUCCAAGCUGAAACCAAGCUUGCCAUUGAACUACAGAGGAAAAACAAAAGGGUACAUCAACGGAUUGAAGCUGAAGGGAUUUCACAUGAAAGAAUUCAUGAGAAGAUGCAUCCGUCACUGUCAAGAAAAAAUGGACAACAAGCAAUCCUUGAAGGUAUUCCAAAGCCGCAGCCUGAAAUGCUUACUUUUAGAAAGAAAGAAGAACCAAUUGAAUUUGGUAGUUUUCCAAGUUUGAAUGAUGGGAACGCCAAAGAUAACAGCCAUAUAAUGGAUAUGAGAAAUGAUCAAUCUAAUCUUCUGCAAUCACAGCUGCUGCCAUUAUCAGUCCCUGCUAAUGCAAUGCAGUGGAAUCACAUGACUGAGUCUAUUGGAAAGAAUAUAACAAAUGAAAAAGUUGUCACUCAGGGUCAGAAGGGGAAAGCUUUGCCACAUUCUCUAGUUUCUUCUGGUGAUGUAAAUGCAUCGGUACAUUCUUGUCUUGAUAAUUCUUUGCCAAAAGAGGCACCUCUCCGGACGAAGAGAAAAUCAAAUUCUCUUCUUAAAGGCAGUAUGCAAAAAGUAGAAACUCUUGCAGGCACUAGCGCAAUGAAUACUGCCAAUACAGUUUACCUUCCAGUGGGAACUCCCUUACCCUGGCCUUCGGUACUUGAUGACCCUGUCCUUGAGACUCCCAUGCUUUCAGGAAUUAGUGAUCCCGUGCUUGAUAGGAUUUCAAAAGUGAAAACGGUGACUCAGAGGUAUGCACUGAAUAACAGGAAACGUAAGUUCAGUCAGGUUAUUGAAAGGAAGUUCUUUUCCUGCACAGCUCAAUUGGUAGCUUCCGGGAUAAUGAACUCUGAGGAUAAGAACUUCGGAGAUGGUAACUCAGAUACAACUUCUCAUUUGGAUUGCUCCUCGGAAAAUAAUCAUAACCUCUUUAAGACUAGGAAUGUUACAUUUAUACGCUCAUAUCAUGUUUCUCAAGGAAAUGAUAUUGCCAAUAGUGAGGCUCAAAACAAACUCACCAUAUUGGAGAAGCUUGACGAGGGAAUAGUGGAAGCAACUGUUAUUUAUGAUCAAGAAAAGUUUGAUCGCAUUGAGUUGCAUCUCUUAGAAACCUUCACUAACACUCAUCAUGCAGACCUGUUUGCCUCUCAGUUCAGCUCACUGAUGAUGCGUGAAGGAUAUCAUCUAGCUGGUGAUCGAAUAGAAUCUGCACCCCUUGUUAUUGACGAAAGCUCUACUAGUCAACAACAAACCGUUACUACUACUGCUACUCCAGCGGCUGAACAGGUCGAGCUAGUUCCCCCAACUCUGGCCCAUGGGAAAUUUCCUUACACGUUUAAUCCAAUGAACAGUAGCGUAUCUACCUAUAACCCUAGAAAAUUACCAUCACAGAAUAAUUUUUCUGGCAAUUUCAACUCUGCUUUACCGGUAUCAGCUGGUUGUUUCUCCAACCCACCACUCGAAAUUGCUUCACAUAUUAUGAAUAAGCGUGCCUUUUCACAGUUACAGAUGAUGCGAAGAUAUAGGCUACAACAACAUCUUUUGAAGAAGACGCGGAUGAUGGAAGAAUUUGGUGCUGCAACAGGUUACCCAGGGACCAUGCAAUUAGGUGAUGGGGCCCAGGGGCUUGGAAAUAUCGAUCUUAAUUCAUUUGGUAGCAUUGUGGGCACAGGGGGUACUCAAGCUGCAGUUUUAGGAAGGAUGAGAACAUCAGAAAAUGGAGGAAGAGCGUUCAAUGAGUAGAUUUUCAAUUGAUGGAAGCGCUGAUGUGGCGCCAACAUGUCAACCUAAUGUUCCUGGGGUGGCAUAUCAUGCAAUCAACCAGUGGCCACCACCAAUACAGAUGCAACAUCAAUUUUAUAUGAGGUCACUACUCCAGCCUCCAGAAACAACCAGCUGGACUGAGCAUGGUAGUUCACCUCUUAGUCUCUCAAGUCUGAUUCAAAUGGAGCAACAUUCCCAAAUUAGCUCUGUAUCAGUGCCUCAUCCAAUGGAUUCUGGGAAUAGUUGCAGCACAAGCUCGCCCAUGGAGUUGCGUAGAAGUGGCCAAACUGGUGGGGUCAAAUGAUGAAGAAUUUUGGAUAAUCCGGUUUUCCUCAUCCAGAUUUACUGUCACAGCAAUAUUGAGGACAUACCAAAGCCCUUUCACCACAAUUCACAUGAUUUAUAUUUCAAAUCCAGUCCUAUUGGCACUCCAUUGACUAAUUGUUUUCUUAAAGUGUGAAGCCAAAAACACAUCUAUUGUCAAAUAUAUGAGGCUUCAAAUCUGAUCAUAACUUGUUUUAUUUUGCUUAAUGUGUUAGUAUAUCAGUGUUACUUAUCAAA